rnacentral:rRNA from 1 species
AGUGAACGCUGGCGGCGUGCUAAUACAUGCAAGUCGAACGGAAUUUAAAAGAGCUUGCUCUUUUGAAUUUAGUGGCGCACGGGUGAGUAAUAUAUAGCUAAUCUGCCCCUUGCUGGAGGACAACAGUUAGAAAUGACUGCUAAUACUCAUACUCCUUUUUACCAUAAGAUAAAUCGGGAAAGAAUUUCGGCAAGGGAUGAGACUAUAUCGUAUCAGCUAGUCGGUGGGGUAACGGCCUACCGAGGCUAUGACGCGUAACUGGUCUGAGAGGAUGAUCAGUCACAUUGGAACUGAGACACGGCCCAAACUCCUACGGGAGGCAGCAGUAGGGAAUAUUGCGCAAUGGGGGAAACCCUGACGCAGCAACGCCGCGUGGAGGAUGACACUUUUCGGAGCGUAAACUCCUUUUGUUAGGGAAGAAUAAUGACGGUACCUAACGAAUAAGCACCGGCUAA